rnacentral:rRNA from 1 species
UACAGAGGGGGCAAGCGUUGUUCGGAAUUACUGGGCGUAAAGGGCGCGUAGGCGGCCUGCUAAGUCGAACGUGAAAUCCCCGGGCUCAACCCGGGAACUGCGUCGGAUACUGGAUGGCUUGAAUCCGGGAGAGGGAUGCGGAAUUCCAGGUGUAGCGGUGAAAUGCGUAGAUAUCUGGAGGAACACCGGUGGCGAAGGCGGCAUCCUGGACCGGCAUUGACGCUAAAGCGCGAAAGCCAGGGGAGCAAACGGG